AACGAACGCUGGCGGCAGGCCUAACACAUGCAAGUCGAGCGCCCCGCUAGGGGCGCGGCAGGCGGGUGAGUAACGCGUGGGAACGCACCCUUAUCGUUGGGGUAGCACCGGGAAACAGGAAUGAAAAUAGAAGGUGCUCUUUGGGGGAAAGAUUUAUCGGAUAAGGAUCGGCCCGCGUUGGAUUAGCUCGUUGGUAGGGUAAAGGCCUACCAAGGCGACGAUCCAUAGCUGGUCUGAGAGGAUGAUCAGCCACACUGGGACUGAGACACGGCCCAGACUCCUACGGGAGGCAGCAGUGGGGAAUAUUGGACAAUGGGCGAAAGCCUGAUCCAGCCAUGCCGCGUGAGUGAUGAAGGCCUUAGGGUUGUAAAGCUCUUUCACCGGGGAAGAUAAUGACGGUACCCGGAGAAGAAGCCCCGGCUAACUUCGUG
rnacentral:rRNA from 1 species